GACCGCCGAAGUGGGCAGUGUUGCAACCCAGAGCCACACCAGCCCUGCUGGGAAGGAAGCCUGUCCAUUUAUCAAACUGACAGCAAGGCGGCAAAGGGAGCAGCAGAAGCAUCCUUUGCCAAGGACAGACAUUAAUGCAGAAAAAUACGUCAUUGCUGCUAGUGACUGAAUAUAUCUUUGGUUCAAUUGUUGAACCAUAUCACUAGUCAUCUGAAGUAAUGGACAGUAAAGAAUGACCAAGAGUAACAUCUUCCAAACAAAGCUGAGAACAAGUUUAUCUAAAGUGAGUUAUUGAGUUGGAGUCAAACUUGCUGGCCUCAUAAAUAAAAAAAGAAAGAAAGAAAGAAGAAAAAUAGAACCCAGAAGAAUGUCUCACCUCCAUCCCACAAUCUAUGAAAGGCCUCACCCUAAGGAGCACCCAAGACCUGGGACAGGAAGUCUGCAAAGAAUAAUGUUCUCCAUGAGGAACCCAAGUCAAACUAUACACACUAUACUACAAAACGCGUUGUUUGGUCCUGGGGAUCAGCACGGAAUCGCAUCACUUCAGGGCACAGAGACUUUCAUAAUCGUGCCCUCCUAUCACAGCAUUUUAUAAAGGAAGCCGGUACCAGAGUCCUCACCCUACACGGGAGUGUAGUUGGCGUCUUAGCUGGUUCUCCAAAGCAAGCCUUCAUUUCAGCCCAAAAUACUACAUGCAUGCAAAUCUCUAUAUGUAUACAUAGGUAGAGAGAUGGAGGGAC
rnacentral:lncRNA from 1 species